GUCUGGUUUAUCUGCGUGCACAGCUUUGUGCUUAUUGUGGAGAGUGCAGGUGCAGGCAGCCACAAGAGCCUAGCUCAAGCAUGGCUGCCUAGUGCCUCAUCUAGAAGCACCUUCGGUUCAGGCUGUGUGUUGCUUGAGAACUGAGGUGAAGCACCCAGUGUCAACAGCUGCAUUUGGUUUUGUAACUGUGUUGUUACAGAAAGUAGAUGAGGUCUGAGGGCUAUUACUCCUCUUCAGGUGGUUACUCUGUCUAAAACAUCAUUGGGCUUCAGCUAUUGUUACUGUGUGCUGAAUCUGAAACAGAGGAAAGCAGUCAAGUAUUGCUACAUCUGUCCUGUUAAAAAGAUAUUUUUGCUUUAAAUUGUAUUAUUAAAACUGCCUUGGGAGCAAGAGCACGGAGAAGAGCCUCACUAAGACUUGAAGGGCUGCUGCUGCGUUUGCCAGAAACCAAACAAUAACCAUUCUCAGUGGCACUGAAAUGAGCUGUGGGCUGGACCAGCAAACGCAGUACCAGAUCUGUCCAGGGAAACAUUGGGGGUUGUGUGUCUUGGUGGAUAGACCCUGCUUGUUCCUUGGACAAACAUGAAGACUUGCCUCUUUGCAUUGAGCUAUGUAUACUUUCACCAUGGGAAUAUUUGAAAGCCCAUCAUGUCACUGUGGCCAUGUGGAUUAAGGGAGGGAAUCCCAUGUGUUUUAUAAGCAGACCUGGAAGCACCACUCACCAUGCAUCUGUGAGACUGGUAUUAGUGUUUUACUUAACCAGCCAUUCAGAUCAAUUGUAUUUUUCACUUUUGCAAUUGGUGGUUGAGUAAACAAAAUAUAUGCUUAUAUAAAGUUAUUUACAGAGCA